ACGCUCGACACCUACGGGAGGCAGCAGUGGGGAAUAUUGGGCAAUGGGCGCAAGCCUGACCCAGCAACGCCGCGUGAAGGAAGAAGGCCCUCGGGUUGUAAACUUCUUUUGACAGGGACGAAGAAAAUGACGGUACCUGUCGAAUAAGCCACGGCUAACUACGUACCAGCAGCCGCGGUAAUCUGAGCGGGCUGGCAAGGC
rnacentral:rRNA from 1 species